rnacentral:misc_RNA from 1 species
UCCGGUUUGGCACCGGCAGUCCCCCGAGAGUCCUCAGCGUUUUGCAACCUGUUAGCAACACGGGGCGGGGGUUGCGCUCGUUGCGCCACUUAAGGCAACACCUCACGGCACGAGCUGACGACAUCCAUGCAGCAUCUGUGCACGCUCUCUUGCGAGUCCCUUCUCUUACAAGUUGGUACCACGUGCAUGUCAAGCCGAGGUAAGGUUCUGCGCGUUGCAUCGAAUUAAACCACACGCUCCGCUGCUUGUGCGGGCCCCCGUCAAUUCCUUUGAGUUUUAACCUUGCGGCCGUACUCCCCAGGCGGGAUGCUUAAUGCGUUAGCUGCGCCACCAACAAGCAUGCUUGCUGACGGCUAGCAUCCAUCGUUUAAGGCGUGGACUAC